GAUGAACGCUGGCGGCGUGCCUAACACAUGCAAGUCGAGCGAACAGACGAGGAGCUUGCUCCUCUGACGUUAGCGGCGGACGGGUGAGUAACACGUGGAUAACCUACCUAUAAGACUGGGAUAACUUCGGGAAACCGGAGCUAAUACCGGAUAAUAUAUUGAACCGCAUGUUUCAAUAGUGAAAGACGGUUUUGCUGUCACUUAUAGAUGGAUCCGCGCCGCAUUAGCUAGUUGGUAAGGUAACGGCUUACCAAGGCAACGAUGCGUAGCCGACCUGAGAGGGUGAUCGGCCACACUGGAACUGAGACACGGUCCAGACUCCUACGGGAGGCAGCAGUAGGGAAGCUUCCGCGAUGGGCGAAAGCCUGACGGAGCAACGCCGCGUGAGUGAUGAAGGUCUUCGGAUCGUAAAACUCUGUUAGUAGGGAAGAACAAAUGUGUAAGUAACUAUGCACGUCUUGACGGUACCUAAUCAGAAAGCCACGGCUAACUACGUG
rnacentral:rRNA from 1 species